CAAAAACAUAGCCUGUUGGGUUUUAUAACAGGUGUUUUCUGCCCGGUGUGCUUGUGCAUAAACGGCCGCGGUACUCUGACCGUGCAAAGGUAGCAUAAUCAUUUGUCCUUUAAUUGGGGGCUGGAAUGAAUGGAAGGUUUGAAGGCCCAACUGUCUCUUUUUUUCUUUUGUAACUUGCUGUCCCUGUGAAGAAGCAGGGUUGUUUGAGAGGGACAAGAAGACCCUAUUAAGCUUUACCUUUAAGCGUUCUCUUUGUGUAAUACAUAUCGGCGAGUUGAAAAGAAGGUUUGGUUGGGGUGACCGGAGAAGAUUCGAAUCUUCUCCGUCUGUGAUACUUUGAGUUUAACGGUGACCCAGGAAAUCCUGGUUGAAAGAAAUAGUUACUAUAGGGAUAACAGCGUAAUCUUUUCGUAAAGUUCUUAUUGAGGAAAAGGAUUGCGACCUCGAUGUUGACUUGUCUUCUCCUUUAUAGGUGCAGUAGCUGUGAGGGUUGGUCUGUUCGACCAUUAAAAUGAC
rnacentral:rRNA from 1 species